GGAGGGAUGGCCGAGUGGUUUAAGGCAUUGGUCUUGAAAACCAACGUAGCGCACCGCGCUACCGUGGGUUCGAAUCCCACUCCCUCCG
rnacentral:tRNA from 3 species